rnacentral:rRNA from 1 species
UACGGAGGGUGCGAGCGUUGUUCGGAAUCACUGGGCUUAAAGGGCGCGUAGGCGGGCUGUCAAGUCUGGGGUGAAAUCCCCGCGGCUCAACCGUGGAACUGCCUUAGAUACUGACGGCCUCGAGGGAGGUAGGGGCGAGCGGAACUGUGAGUGGAGCGGUGAAAUGCGUUGAUAUUCACAGGAACUCCGGUGGCGAAGGCGGCUCGCUGGACCUUUUCUGACGCUGAGGAGCGAAAGCUGGGGGAGCGAACAGG